rnacentral:rRNA from 1 species
AUACAGAGGGUGCAAGCGUUAAUCGGAAUUACUGGGCGUAAAGCGUGUGUAGGUGGUUAGAUAAGUUUAGAUGUGAAAUCCCCGGGCUUAACCUGGGCACUGCGUUUAAGACUGUUUAGCUAGAGUACUGUAGAGGAUAGUGGAAUUUCCAGUGUAGCGGUGGAAUGCGUAGAUAUUGGAAGGAACACCAGUGGCGAAGGCGACUAUCUGGACAGAUACUGACACUGAGACACGAAAGCGUGGGGAGC